rnacentral:tRNA from 1 species
GGCAGAGCGGCUGAAUGCACCGGUCUUGAAAACCGGCGAUGGGCGACCAUCCGUGGGUUCAAAUCCCACC